rnacentral:misc_RNA from 1 species
AUAUAUAUAUAUAUAUAUAACUCAUAAGUUUAGUCUAAUCCAAAAAUAAACUAAUUUUAGGAUAGCGGAAUUCCAAAAUAAAGAUAAUGAACUCAGUACCAUGAUGGAAGCAAGUCCAAUUAUUAAGUUUGAAGAAAAAGUUAUAACAGAAAAUGUAAAUCUCUCAUUAAGGAGGCAAACUCAUAGUAUAAUUUCAAAAAGAUCUUUUGCAGGCAGUGGGGGCACUAGCCCCAUGCUGCAUCUAUCCUUGUGUAUAAAGUUUUUUAUACAUUUUAAAGAUCAUCAUUGAUUGGAUUCUUGAAAAAUAUUAGACAGCUUACCAAACAACUAGCGAGUUAGCACUGAUAAAAUUUGACUUAAGAACUAUGCAGCAGACAGUGGUGGCUUCAUGAGUAGGAAAUAAAGAUGGUUAAGUACAUAAAUGUAUUGAAAGUGGAUAGAAAAACAUCUCUUCAGCAAGCUCAACCUGUGAUACUGAAUUUGUGUGCCUUCUAUUGAGUCUUGGCGCAAAAACCAAGGAGCUUAGUAUUAAGAAAACAUUAAAGGUUUUUUUCUUAAAAAGAAAAAAAAGAAGAAGAAGAGCAUGAUGCGUUAAAGUUCUCUCAGGUGCCAUCAUCAGAUAUGGUACAAAUAUACAGAUCGUUUCAACAGCAAGAGACAGCUUGGGGAACAGACCUUUGAUACGGGACACGGUGUUCAGGAAUCCCAUCUUCAUUGCGUUUAUCUUCAAACCAUUUCACCACUCUUUUGCGAGGCAGAUUCGUCACUUGCACAAUGCUGCUAAUCAUUGCAUUAGUAGGUCUCUUUGUUCUUUUAUAUACUCUUUCAAGGGUUUCAACGUGGACUUUCUUCAGUCUCUUCUGAGCAGACCAUCUGUGCCUCAAAACAUGAACGGGCACUCCUUUCUCACUCUUAGAUUUCACAUCAUCCACGCUCACUGAUUCUGCAGGAAUGAUUUCAAUCGGUUUGCUUUCUGGCAAUGAGGAUGUUGAUGCCGGUUCAUCAGGUAAAGCAGCACUCAUCAUUACAAGAUUUGGAGGGGGGUCACGGAGCAACUCAAGAACAAUGGCCCUAUCAAGACAAAGUUCAGCAGCAAGGCUUUUGAUACUAGUUUUACGGCGUCCAUUUUUUAAAGCACGAGCCAGCCUUCGAAGCUGCCAAUUCUUAAGCUUUACUGGUCUUUCCUCCUCCACUUCAUCAUCAUCUUCUUCUUCGAUAGCAUUAACACCUCCAACAUCAUCUCCAGCGGAGCUAAGUAUUUCAAUAUCGUCAUCAUCAGCAAUUCCUAAUGCCUCCUCCAAUGCACGUUGAAGUUUAUCAAAAUCUGAUUCACUUAUAUCAUCACCAUCAUCAUCAUCAAUGGAUGACCCAUCUUUUUUAAGGUCUUCUUCCAGCAUGCUGAAGAGUGCCUCAAAGGCAUCGUCAUCCAUAUCAUCUUCCUCCUUCUUUUUCUUUGAAGAAGAGUUUGCAGAGUUUUGGUGUGGACGGCGAGAGAAAGAGAGGAUAGAGGUAGCAGGAGCGUGACGUGGCAGAAAGAGACUGGAUGGCCUGGGAGAUCCCAAGAAGACCCUCUCAAUGCUUGAAGAUGGCCAACUCUUUGGAGCAGCAAAAACCUUCACAGACGAUGAAGCCAAUGCCAUUUUCGUUCGCUCUCCCUGUCUACUGUACCAAACCGGAAACAUUCCGAGAGGCCAAGGGGGUUUAUCAUCAAGCGAACGUGUGCUCCCUCCAAACGCACCGUUUCGUCCUAAGGUAGUUCUGGAGUGGAGAGUAG